ACCUACGGGGGGCAGCAGUAGGGAAUUUUCGUCAAUGGGCGCAAGCCUGAACGAGCAAUGCUGCGUGAACGAGGAAGGUCUUCGGAUCGUAAAGUUCUGUUGAAGGGGAAAAAGAGCGGAGAGAGGAAAUGGUCUCCGAUUGAUAUUACCCUUCGAGGAAGUCACGGCUAACUACGUGCCAGCAGCCGCGGUAAUACGUAGGUGGCGAGCGUUAUCCGGAAUGAUUGGGCGUAAAGGGUGCGUAGGCGGCCUGCUAAGUCUGGAGUGAAAGGUACCGGCUCAACCGGUACAGGCUCUGGAAACUG
rnacentral:rRNA from 1 species